GAUGAAGAACGCAGCGAAAUGCGAUAAGUAGUGUGAAUUGCAGAAUUCAGUGAAUCAUCGAAUCUUUGAACGCACAUUGCGCCCGUCAGUAUUCUGGCGGGCAUGCCUGUUCGAGCGUCAUUACGCCCCUCAAGUCCCCUGUGGACUUGGUGUUGGGGAUCGGCGAGGCUGGUUUUCCAGCACAGCCGUCCCUUAAAUUAAUUGGCGGUCUCGCCGUGGCCCUCCUCUGCGCAGUAGUAAAACACUCGCAACAGGAGCCCGGCGCGGUCCACUGCCGUAAAACCCCCCAACUUUUUAUAGUUGACCUCGAAUCAGGUAGGACUACGCGCUGAACUUAAGCAUAUCAAUAAGCGGAGG
rnacentral:misc_RNA from 1 species